UUAGUGGCAAGAUCAGAAUGCCGAAUGACCAAACAUCUUAAUCUGUAAGCAAAUCAUGCUGCAUACUGUAUGGGGUAAUUUUCUAUGAAAUACCCAAAAAGGUACAA